rnacentral:misc_RNA from 1 species
CCGAGUUUCCAAAACUCCCAACCCAUGUGAACUUACCUCUCGUUGCCUCGGCGGGAUCGCCCCGGGUGCCCCAGGCCCCGGACCCAGGCGCCCGCCGCAGGACCCCAAACUCUUGUUUAGUGGAAGCUUCUUCUGAGUGAGAAAACAAAUAAAUCA